UACGGGGGGGGUAAGCGUUGUUCGGAAUUACUGGGCGUAAAGGGCUCGUAGGCGGCCAACUAAGUCAUACGUGAAAUCCCUCAGCUUAACUGGGGAACUGCGUGUGAUACUGGAUGGCUUGGAUUUGGGAGAGGGAUGUGGAAUUCCAGGUGUAGCGGUGAAAUGCGUAGAUAUCUGGAGGAACACCGGUGGCGAAGGCGGCAUCCUGGACCGAGAUUGACGCUGAUGCGCGAAAGCCAGGGGAGCAAACGGG
rnacentral:rRNA from 1 species